UACGUAGGGGGCUAGCGUUGUCCGGAAUCAUUGGGCGUAAAGCGCGUGUAGGCGGUCCGGUAAGUCCGCUGUGAAAGUCGGGGGGCUCAACCCUCGAAUGCCGGUGGAUACUGUCGGGCUAGAGUGCGGAAGAGGCGAGUGGAAUUCCUGGUGUAGCGGUGAAAUGCGCAGAUAUCAGGAGGAACACCAAUUGCGAAGGCAGCUCGCUGGGACGUUACUGACGCUGGAGAACACGGAAAGCCGUGGGUAGCAAACAGG
rnacentral:rRNA from 1 species